UCAAGGAAACAGGUUCACUGUGGUGCAGCUUACUUAACAGAACGUUUUCCACUUAAAAACACUGCAUUCUUUCGGAAACCUUCAUGAUCAAUACGCCCUGCACGAGAGAAGGGAAACAAAAUUGCAAUCACUUUGGCAGUGAUGAGUCCUGUCGAUACUGGGCCAAAUUUGUUACUAUCACUGUAAACUAGUUAAUAUCUCUAUAGAAGAAAACGAAAAAGUAAAAAAACAAUUGUUGGAAACCUACAUAGAAUGAAAUUGUUCAUCGCCUUCGACCCACACAUGUCCCUCGGGAACGGGUACUAAUGACAACUUUUUAGGAGGUCUCGUUUUCAUGAUAUCGUAUUCUACUCCUAGAACUCUUUUUACCAAUAGUUCCUCUGGGUUUUCUGGAGAGCUUGUUGCUUAUUAGUAACGAUAAAAAGGGAAACUCAGUACCGAAAGACCCUGCAACGAUCCAAGAACUUACCGUAGUAUAACUACAUCUCCUCUUUUGUAAUCCUUAUUCCAUUUCCAAAGUAGUACCCUAUCUCUCUGCAGCAUGUUUGUCUCAGGGUUAAAGGCUGGUUUCAUAGAUCUACCUUCAAUUGUACCGACGCUGACUACAUGUUGUUCAACGAACAUUAAUACGGGUACCCAUAGGGUAAUUCCGACUAAAUUUUUAAAAAAUACUGAUUUAAAAGAUUGAUUUCGAACGAAAGGGUUUGCCAUUUUUUGAGGACAACUGCUAAACUCUCUCCUCUAAGAAGUUUAUGAUUAACCGUCUGUAUGUACCUUAACAAGCAUGGGAGUUUCCGUAAUUAAUAAUUAAACCAGGAAAACGUAUUAAUGAAUUUUAUCUGAUAAGUGUCAGGCUUCUAUUCCUGAUCGUUUUUGUUUCAAUACGGUGUGUUGCAGUAGGUAAUUCAAAACCACAUUAAGCUUAGCUUCCUUCUAAUAUUAUUAUAGCGAAAACUAUUAUUUACUUAAAUUAACAACCAUGGUAAUAGAUACAAAAAAACAAAUAAAUAUUCUGUAA